rnacentral:tRNA from 5 species
GCACUAAUGGGGUAGUGGUAACCUCGGAGUUUCCCAUCUUUGAAGAUACUACUCUGGCCCCGUGUUCGAUUCACGGUUAGUGCA